rnacentral:misc_RNA from 1 species
CCUGUCAGCGGUAGCUUCACCGCUGAGCUCGCGUAUUCCCGAUUUUACGCUCGGUGGCUCAGAUUAUUGUAUCAUUAUCGAGAGUUUUCCCCAGUGAAUUGUGAGUGUAGAUAAUUACACGCCUACUGAUGAGGUCGUUAGUGAUUUAUAAUCGAAUCAUGAAUUCGGAAUGAAGUAGGUGUUGAACGAACAUCUUGAAGGGCUUUAAAGGCUGCUCAUUACACCUGCUGUUAUGCUGAGGUUCACCUUUUCUAGUUUUAGUUGUAGAUGAUCUAAGGAAUCACGCGGUACGAAUGAAACAGGAAAUCUAAAUGCUGCGCAGUCUUCUUGCAUAGCAUUCCGAGCUUUGGCCAUAGGCUCGUCAAAGAUGGCUACAAAUCAAGUGGAUUAUCAGUGGGCUUACUCCAUCAUGGACUCUUCCAGAGUUUCGACAUUUCUGAUAUCAAUUCUAUUGAUUGUGUAUGGUAGUUUUCGAUCUCUGAACAUGGAGCAAGAAGCCAGAGAAAGAGAAAAAGAGAAAGAACGAACUAAUUUAUUGUCAGGAAUAGUCAGCACCGGUGGCUCAGAUUGUGCCAAUGGUGGAGGAGUUCAAACUUUGGAAACUAUGCACGCCCUGUGCCUGCCCCUUGGUGCUUCCGUCUCCCUUUUAAUUAUGUUCUUCUUUUUUGAUAGCAUGCAGAUGCUUUUUGCAAUAUGUACAGCAAUCAUAGCAACAGUAGCACUGGCUUUCCUAUUGCUACCAAUGUGUCAGUAUAUCAUUCGACCUUGUUCAGACGGGAACAAAAUAUCGUUUGGUAUGUGUGGGAGGUUUACAGGGGCAGAGCUACUUUCAUUUUCACUCAGUGUGAGCAUCGUUUGCAUCUGGGUCCUCACCGGUCAUUGGCUAUUAAUGGAUGCCAUGGGAAUGGGUCUAUGCGUCGCAUUUAUAGCAUUUGUCCGAUUGCCUAGUCUGAAGGUUUCCACUCUUCUUCUCACAGGACUCCUCAUAUACGAUGUUUUUUGGGUCUUCUUCUCAUCCUACAUCUUCAGCACAAAUGUCAUGGUCAAGGUUGCAACGCGUCCCGCUGAUAAUCCAGUGGGUUUGGUAGCACGUAGGCUGCAUUUAGGAGGCGUUGCGCGAGAAGCUCCUAAGCUAUCUCUGCCAGGCAAGCUGGUAUUUCCCUCCAUGCAUCAAGCAGGACAUUUUUCAAUGCUGGGUCUAGGAGAUGUCGUUAUGCCAGGUCUAUUACUUUGUUUUGUCCUUCGCUACGACGCCUACAAAAAAAGCCAGCUAUUGCCAGGUGGUUGCGAAGCCGGUGUUCCUCCGCCCCGUCAUUUAAGUCGCAUCAGUUACUUCCAUUGUUCGCUGAUUGGCUACUUUCUUGGAUUACUCACUGCCACCGUCAGUUCUGAGGUCUUCAAAGCAGCCCAACCCGCACUACUCUACCUCGUACCUUUCACGCUGCUGCCACUACUUACCAUGGCUUAUCUAAAGGGUGAUCUACGUCGUAUGUGGAGUGAACCAUUUAUAACUCACCCACCUUCGAAACAUAUGGAAGUUUGACAGCUGUCACGAUCCAUGCCAAAUCAUAAUUUCCACCACAUAAACAUGUAUCGUGAGAGUUUUGCUGUUGUUCGACAUCAUUACCUUUGUUUCGUCAGCGUCAUUUUAUAAAAGUUUGCCAACUCCUUAUUUGGAACAGCACCACGUUGGAAUUGAAUAUUGUAAAAAAAAUAAACACAAUAU